AUCGCACUCCUUUGAAGAUUACUAUUAUAGGUAAGGCCUUUAUAUGAAUUCAGAAAUUUAAUAUCAAAUCAAAAUACUAGAAAAAAAUUUUUAGGCUCGAAAAUUUUGUUUAAGCACAAUGGCGUUUGAUUUUUCUGAUUUAUUAUUCGUAUUCUGAUUUUAUUUUCGGUUAAUCUUACUGAAAUUUAUCCUACGAUGGAAAUACUAAUGUAUAUUAUUUUUCUUGCAGGGUAGUGGUGUGUGCAGAAUUUGGAACAAAUUUUCUGAUUUUCAAGUAAAGGUAGGGAUUUUUUUUUUUUUUUAUCUUUUUCUUAAAAUUUAAACUUUUGAGUAUAACAGGAUCUUACUUCUUCAAUAGUGUUUAUUUUUUCUUUUGACUUAUCUAAAAUAAACUAUUGAUAAUUUAGGCAAAAGUUUAGUUCAUUUGAAAAUUGACAUUAAAUCCAAGCAUUUUUAUGGGAAACUAAGAAUUUUAAAAUGCGUAGAGGAACUGUGGCUAGAGAGUGUUUUGGUAAUGGAAAUGUGAUAUAUAAGAAGUUAGAGAGAAAAUAGAAGUAUUUUCACGAGGUAUGUGAACAUAGAUAUUGCUUAGUGCUUUCUAGGAUUCAUAAAUGUACUUUGCAAGAACCAAAUUUGGUUAAAUUUACAGCGUAACAAUAAGAAGAAUAGUUUUAGUACCGGUCAGGUUCAUCAGGAAAAUGUCUGUUCAUUGAUCUCACGUUUUUAUGUGCCUCUCUUUGAUAGGGUUUGUCCUCCAUGUGCUGAAUAUAAGAGGAUGAAUAAGAUUUUGUUUUAGGCAAAAGAAUAUUGUAAUGUCAAAUGUUCAUCUAUUUAAGUCCCGGAAGGUCACUUAUCGUAAUGGCGUGCAGUUAUGCACUGUACUAAAAGUAAAUGUUUUAAACCCUCUUUAUUAUCUAGUAUGGCACUAAUACUUUAUUGCAAUAAAACAUAGUACUGAUGAAGGUGCAUAAUGCCCUAUUGAAGGAUGUGUCAGGGGUGUUACAUUAAUAGAAUAGAUGAAAAUUUAUGGUCAACAAAACACUGUGAUUCUUUUGCUGUUUUAAUCCCAAAUUUUGACGAAAGUAUACUACAUAUGCUUUUAACUUAACUCUACUUGAUAAUAUAUGCAUUCACCUAAACUAUAUGUCUUACUCAUUCUCCUAUUUUUCUUUUAAUCUUGUUUGCAAUCUUCAAAUUAGUUGAUGUCUUAAUGGGAUUACUGGAAGAGACAUGAUUAGAGCCUCUUAAAUUCGGAUGCUCUGGUAGCAUGAAUAUAGGAAAAUUUGGUGACCUCCAUAUGUUUUAUAUGAGUCUGGCUAAGAAUUUUAUCAUCUUUUGACCUUUGAGAAGUUAUUUUUCCCCAAAAACACGAUUUGUCUGCACGUGACAUUUGGUACCUUACUCGAUCAGAGUGUCUUUGUUAGAUGACAUAAGGACUCAUAUUGUGUUCUUUAGUCUCUCCUAACUCUAUUUUUUAUAUGAAAUUGAUGGUAGCAUAGGUUUGGAAUGAUUAAUGCACGCGUAGGUGUUAUACACAAUCAAGAAUUUGGAGGAGUUUUACAAAGUAUCUUUAGGAGUUGUAUACAUUUUCCAAGGGAUAAGAUAACCUGGCUAUGACUCAAUUUUGUGUGUUAUCCAUGUUUACAGGCUGGGGAUGGAGAAAAAGGAAAUGCAAGAGCAGUCAGGUGAUUAUUAUAGAAAUUUCAAGUGAGAAAAUAAAAGAAGUUUGAUUAAUGCAUCAGAACAUUUCAAACUGAAUUGAUACUCCUGUCUCUAGGGCUGUGGGCGAACACAUCUAUAUUAUCUUCAUUCUGCAUUUAUUUUAUACUAUACCAUGAAAGUAAAACCAUACUUCAUCUGUUCCAUUCUAUUAUAUGUAGGGGUGAACAAAAUGUCCAGACCAAACCAAAUCAGACCAGAACCGAACAAAACCAAACCAAGCGGUUGAGUUCAGUUCUAUCAAAAAAAUUAAUGGUUUUGGUUCUUUGAACCGAAAACUAUUUAGUUUUGGUUAUGGUUUAGUUCUAGUUCAAAAAUCAGAACCAAACCAAACUUAAUAUUUAAUUUUAUAUAUAAUAAUUAGUGGAGACCGUAAUUUUAUAUUCAUUGGAGAUAGUCCAUUAAUUAAAUACAGUUUAUUAAUCAAUUUUGGGUCAUUAGAGAUAAAUAACUCAUUAGUUGUCUACACUCUAAUUUUGUAUUCAAUUGAAUUAUUUCUCUUCCACUCAUUUUCAAUUUACACAACGUCGCAGCAUAUUGGUACUGCAUUUCAUCAAGUUAGUGGAGUGUCAUUUAAAAUUGAAAAAUGAAAUUGGUCAGUUACUUAAAAAGUCUCUAAACUUUUUUUUUUACCUUAAUUGUUUUAUGAGUUAUUUGUGUUCUUCCCAAAUAGAGGAAAACCAUAUAAACAUUCAUGAAAUAUUAAACGAUUAAUGUUGCCUGGAGAAGUGGAUUGUAAAAAUUUUGAUAAUUCAUUCUUUAUUGUAAGGGUGUGCCUUCAAAAAUACUGCAAUUAAUU
rnacentral:lncRNA from 1 species